ACCCAUUUAAUAUUUUCAAAUUAAUUUAUUUAUUUGUACAGAUUUUUAUUUUAAAAACAAUCGUUGUCGUCUUAUCUUCUUCCCCAUUUUGUUUCAAAAUUAGGGCUUCCGAUUUCGCAGUGCUCACCUUCUUAGUUUGAAAAUGCCUCGGUAUGAUGAUAGCUAUAGGAACACUCGUCUUUUUGUUGGCCGCUUAUCAUCUAGAACUUGUACCUGAGAUCUUGACCAUCUUUUUAGCAGAAUACUAAAGGAAUUUUAAAGGAGUAUAAUAGCGACAUUGGUGAGUAAAUCAGCAACAAAUUUGACUUUCUGACAAUAGUCGCGAAUCAUCAUAUCUCCGAUCUCCAUGGUCCGUAGCUCGUUGUCAAGCUCCACGAGCUUCCUUAUUGUUUCGAAAUUGGUUCUCCACGUGAAGCCAGAUGUCACGAGCAGAGCCGCAAGUUUUGAACACGGAGCGAAACAGGGGCUGCGCAAGGGUUCCGUAGAUCCAGAGUUUGACGAGACCGUCUCGCUUUUGCCACGCCAUGUCGUCCUCACCGGUGGGAAGAAGGUUGCCCUCUAUAUUACCAGAGACGUCAAACGUCAUACAGUGAGUUUGGAACAACUCUCUCUAGGCAUCGUAAUUGUUGUCUUCAAGAUCUAGAGUGAGCGGGAUGUGAUGUUUGAUGUUUGUCACACUAAAACAUCGUUCGUUGAGAAUCUUAGCAGCAGCCAUGAGAGGAUGAAGCAGAGAAUUUAGAAGAAGAAAAGAAGAUGAAGCAGAUCGGAUCAGAGGCUGAGCUUGUACAUGAAAAAAGGGUUCCACUUGAAAUAUCUAAAUUAAAGAAAGGUGCUCUUAUUGAAAAUGAUCUAUUUAUAUUGAAUCUCAUAUAAAUAUAAACUAUGCAAACAUUAAGCUUGUACAUGCAUACGGGUCUCGAUUGGUACAAAUUUACAUUAUUACAC